GAGGAGGUGUGGUCAGGAAGGGGUGUGGUCAUGAGGGGUGUGGUCAUGAGGGGCUGGGAAGGACUUGCAUGGUGCUAACCUGGUCCUCAGUCUGGUCCUCAUGCAGUCAUUUCUAGCUGGAUCCGUGCAUGAGGAGGAAGAGGAGGAGAAGAGGAGAGCAUGGGAGAGAGGAGGGGGUCUUCUUCCUACCUGUGAUGGCUUGUUUGGACUGUCAAAGUGACACAAUUUAGAAACACCUGGGAAGAUGG
rnacentral:lncRNA from 1 species